AUCCUGCUGAUGAGUCCCAGACAGGACGAAACGCGCUUCCUGAAU
rnacentral:hammerhead_ribozyme from 1 species